rnacentral:rRNA from 1 species
UACGUAGGGUGCAAACGUUAUCCGGAUUUACUGGGCGUAAAGAGCUCGUAGGUGGUUUUGCAAGUUGAAUAUUAAAGCUCCCGGCUCAACUGGGAAAAAGUAUUCAAAACUGCAUGACUCGAGGUAUGUAGGGGAGGAUGGAACACACAGUGUAGCAGUGAUAUGCGUAGAUAUUGUGUGGAACGCCAAAGGUGAAAACAGUCCUCUGGACAUUACCUGACACUGAGGAGCGAAAGCGUGGGGAGCGAACGGG